rnacentral:rRNA from 1 species
GACGAACGCUGGCGGCGUGGAUUAGGCAUGCAAGUCGAACGGUAUCAUCCUUUCGGGGGUGAGAGAGUGGCGAACUGGUGAGUAACACGUAGGUUAUCUACCCUCAAGACGGGGACAACCCAGGGAAACUUGGGCUAAUACCGGAUGUGAGCAACUUUUAGUUGUUUGAAAGGUGGCGUAAGCUGUCGCUUGGGGAUGAGCCUGCGUCCUAUUAGUUAGUUGGUGAGGUAACGGCUCACCUAGGCAAUGAUAGGUAGGCGGCCUUAACGGGUGGUCGCCCACACUGGGAUUGAGAUACGGCCCAGACUCCUACGGGAGGCAGCAGUCGAGAAUAGUCUACAAUGGUCGGAAGACUGAUAGUGCGACGCCGCGUGAACGAUGAAUCCCUUCGGGGUGUAAAGUUCUUUUAUAUGUGAGCAGUGCUUCUUAUAUUAACAGUAUGGGGAGAGAGAUAUUAGCAUAUGAAUAAGCAACGGCUAACUCCGUGCCAGCAGCCGGGUAAA